GGAGAGGUGGCAGAGUGGUCGAAUGCACCAGUCUUGAAAACUGGCGAACUGCAAGGUUCCGUGAGUUCGAAUCUCACCCUCUCCG
rnacentral:tRNA from 1 species